UCUUCGUUCAUGCUUUUCUUU
ensembl:piRNA 21ur-10701 ncRNA